UACGUAGGGCGCAAGCGUUAUCCGGAAUUAUUGGGCGUAAAGAGCUCGUAGGCGGUUUGUCGCGUCUGCUGUGAAAGUCCGGGGCUCAACUCCGGAUCUGCGGUGGGUACGGGCAGACUAGAGUGAUGUAGGGGGAGACUGGAGUUCCUGGUGUAGCGGUGAAAUGCGCAGAUAUCAGGAGGAACACCGAUGGCGAAGGCAGGUCUCUGGGCAUUAACUGACGCUGAGAAGCGAAAGCAUGGGGAGCGAACAGG
rnacentral:rRNA from 1 species